AGAACGAACGCUGGCGGCGUGGAUAAGACAUGCAAGUCGAACGGGACAACAUCUGUAGCAAUACAGGUGUUGUUUAGUGGCGAACGGGUGCGUAACACGUGGGCAAUCUGCCGAGAAGUGGGGGAUAGCUCGCCGAAAGGCGAAUUAAUACCGCAUAUGAUCAGGGACGACAUCUUCCCAACAUCAAAGCCGGGGUAACCUGGCGCUUCUUGAUGAGCCCGCGGCCUAUCAGCUAGUUGGUGAGGUAACGGCUCACCAAGGCUAUGACGGGUAGCUGGUCUGAGAGGACGACCAGUCACACUGGAACUGAGACACGGUCCAGACACCUACGGUGGCAGCAGUCGAGAAUUUUCACAAUGGGGGCAACCCUGAUGGAGCGACGCCGCGUGGAGGAUGAAGGCUUUCGGUUGUAAACUCCUGUCAUUUGAGAACAAGUGUAAGCUAAAGGUAACUACUGGACUACUUGAAUAGUAUCGUAAGAAGAGGAAGAAG
rnacentral:rRNA from 1 species